CCAGGAAACUGAUUUCAGCUUUUAACCACAGGAUUUGUCAGAUACAGUGGUUGUUUUCUUUACUUUUAAGGAUGUUUCUACUUUUAAGUCUAAAAGGCUUCCAGUAUGGAAUCAAAUCCUGAAUGGUAUCAAGACAAGAAAAUGGAAGAACAGAAGGAUCAGUGCUUAGUUUAUGUUAAGAUGCUCCCUGGGAAUGCUUGUUAAAGGGGAGAAGUACUUCUGUCUGCAUCUAGUGAAGUCAGCCCUAUAGUAGAUGAAAUACUAAACUGCUCUGGCCAGAGAUUACACAUCCUGAUGCUCACAGAGUCUUCCAUAGAACAUAUUGCAAGGCAUAAGCAGGCAGCAGAAGUAGAGG
ensembl:lncRNA